AGGUGAUGGUGAAUAUCUUAUC
rnacentral:miRNA from 1 species